CUUGAAGUGCAAUGGCACACUCUGGUGUCCUUCAUUCCACCGGGUCCUGUGUCCGAUUCUGAUCCAGAUUCCCAGUGAGAUGAAGCACAUGGGAGGUGUCAAUGA
rnacentral:pre_miRNA from 13 species